AUAUAAUCAAUCCUUUCUCUUAUUUUGAGAUAGGUUUUGGAUGUGGGGGUUUGCUGGCCUUGUUCAGCUCUCCUGAAAUGCAUUAGCAGAACAAACCUCUGUUCAUUGGCGUGAUAACUAUCUAUGCUAUUGAAUGUAAAGGGGAAGUUCAGCUUUCUAACAGUCCUUGGACAAUUUUAUCAUUUA
rnacentral:misc_RNA from 1 species